UUGUGAGCCACCAUGUGGUUGCUGG
rnacentral:piRNA from 1 species